UUUCCUGCAGUGAUUUUUUUUUUUUGAUUCUCCAUGCGCCCUAAUUCAAAAGUGAUGAAAUAUGGCUCAUAUUGUCACUCAGCAUCUCUAGUUUCAGUGGUAGAGAGAGUUUUGUGGCAGGUUUU